AAAAAAUCGAUCUUUUAUCAUUUCAUGGCCAAAUCAAUGCGGCUAGCAAAUUCAGCUUAUCAAUUACAACCAAUUCUAUAAAGAACAAAAAAAUCAAAAGGUGGCUCAGAAGUGCUUGAAAGGUAAUCACGAGAUUAAAAAAUCUCAAUCAUGUGAUAAAAGGUCAUUUUUUCUUCAUCAUCACCACCAUUUUUGUUUUCACAGAAAAACUUCAAAUACAAAAUUGCAAAUACCGUAAAACAACAAACUCAAGGUUGAUCUUAAAAGGAUAACAAAAACCAGAAUCUGUAAGCUUUAGCUAGCUCGAAAAGAUAAUUUUGACAAACAGAGAUUUAAAGAUUUGCAGUUCUCAAUAACUUCUCAGU
rnacentral:sRNA from 1 species